UACUGAAAAUUUUAUGAAGUUGUAGCCGACAAACCGGAGCCGGAUAAAGCCUGACAAAGUCUUUAGAGGAGGUGCUACGGAGUUAUGACGUCCAAUGAGAAGCUGAGCGAUAACCUUGGAGCGUAAAUUUGCUGCCAAACGAAUCCUCGGAUCAACUGUGAGCAACUUUCUCCCUCAGGGGGCAACCUGCUAACAUAAAUUCGGCAUCUAUCUUGACAUGUUCUUCAAAACACAAAUGAGAUUUCAUUAAUUGAAUCCACAGAUGAUGCGAUCUCUAUUGCACUCAACACUGCCCUUUCCCAC